rnacentral:rRNA from 1 species
CCCUUAGAUGUUCUGAGCUGCACGCGCGCUACACUGACGCACGCAACAGGUGCCUGCUCCGAGAGGACUGGGUAAUCAUUUGAGUGUGCGUCGUGAUGGGGAUAGAAUAUUGUAAUUAUUACUCUUCAACGAGGAAUUCCUAGUAAGCGCCAGUCAGCAGCUUGCGCUGAUUACGUCCCUGCCCUUUGUACACACCGCCCGUCGCUCCUACCGAUGGGUGAUCCGGUGAAUGAUUCGGACUUCAGCGGCUCCCCUGGGGUGCGCCGGAGAAAGUUUUGUGAACCUUAUCACUUGGAGGAAGGAGAAGUCGUAACA